UUUCUCCAAUGAUUAUAUUCAGAUAAAUAAGAGAUGGUUGCUUAUGCAGUUGCUUUGAAUGAUGAAUUUUAUUGUUGAUGCAAGCCAUCUAGAAUAUGAUGGGAGGUGAAUCAUACUAUUGAAGUUUAGAGUUGCUAGAGAUUAAAAGUUUAGUUAAUCAAGAUAUUCAAAUUUUACAUUAUAAGACUAUGAUUCCAUAAUGUUGGUUGGUUUGGAAGAUCCUUUGUAGUACUAUGAUUUUUCUAAGUUGAAUAUAUUUGAAAUUUUUGUUAUGAAAAUUGAGAUUAUUGUUA